CGGACUUCAGAAAAUACAGCUAUAUAUAUAUCUGCCAGGUAAGUAUGAACAAACUUUAUUGUAUCAUAACAAUAUCAUUUUUACUUCUAGUUACUGAUAUAUUCAUCAUUUAAGUCCAUGGGUUUUAUGCUAAUGCUAAUUGCAUUAUAUACUGUUUUAGUUAAAAUUUUUAAUAUGCCAAGUACUUCAGUGUGUUUAUAUGAGGGACUGUUCUCCUUAUUUUAUUCUUCAUAAUAAUACCUAGAAUGGAAAUAGACAGGUAUUCUUGUGUUACUUCCUUGGUUAAGUAUCCAUACUGAUUAGAAGGAACCUCCAACACCAGUUUUGUCAUUGACAUUCAUAGUGGUUAGCAAGAGCUACUUCUUUAGCCAUUGCAGCAUCAGUUUUUUCUUCAUCAUCAUUUUUUAUAUUAGGCAUCAGAUGCUGACCUGUAUUAAGGCUAAGAGAAUGAAGGGUCAGUAGCCAUGUAACCCAAAUUUAUAAUCCACAAUAGCAAGCACAUUUAUAAUUAGUAACAAGGUAAGGCAAAAUUUGUUUUAUUUCAACAAAAAAUUGUCCAAGAAGCAAAUAUAUAGUAUGAAAUUCUUUUGCAAAAGUUUCUGUUAUAUGAGGCUGAUUUUCUCAAAACAUCUUUUUAAUAGAAGGGCCUAUACAGAAAUGGCACAUGUUACCAACUGUGAUUCCCAGUCAAAACAAGAAGCUGAAUUUUGUAACCUUUUAUUUUAUUUUAGGAGCUUCACUUUUUGGCCAUCUAGGGUAGUUUACUUCAGCUAACAGCAUUGUGAUAAAGGGGCCACUCAUGGCAGUCACCAUAUAAUAUAAGAGGUAUUUUGGAACUUAAGAUUACAUUCAACUUUUAAAUUAGUUUUUCUCUUGUAUGAAUACUAUGCGCAUAAAUCUGUAUUGAUAAGUAGGCUUGUUUUAUAAUCUUAAGAUACUUUUUGUAUUAAUGCUGUACCUUGCGAAGAGAUUGUGUUAAAAAUGUAUUUUUAUUUGAAGAUAUUCCCGAAGUAUGUAUAUUGUUAACAAAUUCAUCAAAACGAUAGUCAACCCUCUUUAUUAGUAUAUAAUUUGGUAUAUGGUGUUAUUUGUUAUUCAGUUAGAAAUGUAAUAUAAUGCUCUUUUGACAAUUCUGUUUUUGAAAGCAGGAUGUUUUCAAGGUAUCAGAGGCAGCAUUGUUCUCCUGUUAGAGAAAUAACACAUAUCGCGGACAACAUUAUUCACAUGAUCCAUGAGCAGGGAUCACUUGCGCAGUACCUAUUAUAGCAUCGUUAAGCUUGAGUGGUCAUUGUGAGAGUUUGCUGUUCUCUGAUUCCUUGAGGUCCCAUGUUAUCAAAUCACAUUAAGCCAUUUUUUACAAAUUCUUUGUGUACAACAAAAUGAGUUGAAAAUCUUGAGGUGAAUUCAGAAAAAUUGCAUUGGACUUUUAAGAGAAUAAUUUUACUUGCAUUAUAGUAUUAAAGUGUUGAGAUGCACUGACAGAUAGAUUUCUCUAUUCUAUUAUCACAAUGUAAUCAUUUUGAAAGUAUUACAUACAGUGCAAGUGUUGGUGGUGGGGUUUUCAACUUGGGCCCUUCGACUUGGGACCACCUUCACGUGGUGAGGGGGCUCUUUUGAACACAAAAAUUUGUUCCUGGGUUUGAGUCUACUUUUGCAAAAAUUUAGUGGACCUGAUAAAUAUGAAAAGAUAUGAUAUUUGGAACUGGUUUUAUAUCCAAAGCCAAAUUGUGGGAACUGCUGUAGAACCAUCAACUACCCGAUAAUGUUUAGACCUGAGAGAUAUCCGUUCGUUAUCUCAAGGGCGGAACUACUCUUCAGGGUUGGACCCAUGGAUUCCAAGAGGGUCAGUUAUGGGGAUAGGGUUCUCGGCAUUCUAUCCUGUGUGCCCAUAACAUGAUUGGGGUGGGUAUUAUUGUAUUCUUGUAAUACUCAGUCCUAGCAAGCGGGUUUAGCUUACACUGGGGUCACAAUAAUCAUGUUGCGCCAUCCCGUCAGGUGCUGUAGGGACACGGACAUUUGGGAGUCUGUUCUCACUUUUGCCAAUGAUAUCUUUUUAAUGUUUUCAGUUUUUUUUCUCUCUAUUCUUCAUGGAACAUACAAAUAAAGAUUUUAGUACCUC